CCUACGGGAGGCAGCAGUGGGGAAUAUUGCACAAUGGGGGGAACCCUGAUGCAGCAACGCCGCGUGGGUGAAGAAGUACUCCGGUAUGUAAAGCCCUGUCAGCAGGGAAGAAAAUGAUGGUACCUGACCAAGAAGCCCCGGCUACCUACGUGCCAGCAGCCGCGGUAAUACGUAGGGGGCAAGCGUUAUCCGGAUUUACUGGGUGUAAAGGGAGCGUAGACGGCAAGGCAAGUCUGGAGUGAAAGCCCGGGGCCCAACCACGGGACUGCUUUGGAAACUGUGUUGCUGGAGUGCAGGAGGGGUAAGCGGAAUUCCUAGUGUAGCGGUGAAAUGCGUAGAUAUUAGGAGGAACACCGGUGGCGAAGGCGGCUUACUGGACUGUAACUGACGUUGAGGCUCGAAGGCGUGGGGAGCAAACAGGAUUAGAUACCCGAGUAGUC
rnacentral:rRNA from 1 species